UCAGGUUGUUUUGUGACAUGUAGUAGGAAGAGAUUGAUGAUGUCGGAAGAAUAGAAUAAAAAGUACUGAUGAUAGUAACUAUAAUGCUUUGUACACGUGUAUGGAAUUGACAAAACAAAAGUUUUAUUUAAAAAUCAAAUGCUAUGGAGCUUAUAGUAAAACAGUAAAGAAUUCAUGAAGGCUUUUACAUUAUUUAUUUUAUCUUUUAUUAGUUCUUUGAAAGACCCAUAAAAUAUGCUUUGUUCAUAUUCACCCCCUUCCCAGACUCUGCCAAGAUCCACUCUCUGUCCUUAUCCACAUAACUUUGUAUCCCUUUUAAGCCAUUCAAGACUAAUUUGUUUCCCAAAUAUUCUUAGAUUCUUGGGCUUCCACUGGAGAAUGGCCCAUGUAUCAGGGCUACACUCUUAGAAAAAAACUCUCUUUUCUUCUCACAAGAGCUAACAACUACCAAUACCUUUACAACUAGGUCUGGUUUUGACCUGUCUGGACUUACAGGUUUUAUUCAUGUUCUUCCAUCUAAGUUCAUAUAUGGAGCUUUUCUGUUGUGUCUGGAUGUUUUCAUUGUAGACAUUGAUUGCCUCUGACUUGUACACUUUCUUUUUUUCUUUUUUUCUUUUUUUUUCUUUUUUAAAAAUUUUUUUGACAGACUGGGGUUUUAAUGGAACAUAAUACAUUUUUUAGUUUCAUAUCUUUUUAAAAAUUUUUAUUAGAUAUUUUCUUCAUUUACAUUUCAAAUGCUAUCCCAAAAGUCCCCUAUACCCUCCUCCCACUCUGCUCCCCUACCCACUCACUCCUACUUCUUGGCCCAGGCGUUCCCCUGUACUGGGACAUAUAAAGUUUGCUAGACAAAGAGGCCUCUCUUCUCAACGACAGCCUACUAGACCAUCUUCUGCUACAUAUGCAGCUAGAGACACGGGCUCUGGGGGUACUGAUUAAUUCAUAUUGUUGUUCCACCUGUAGGGUUGGAGAGCCCUUCAGCUCUUGGGUACUUUCUCUAGCUCCUCCAUUGGGGGUCCUGUGGUCCAUCCUAUAGUUGACUGUGAGCAUCAACUUCUGUAUUUGCCAGGCACUGGCAAAGCCUCACAGGAGACAGCUAUAUCAGGGUCCUUUCAGCAAAAUCUUGCUGGCAUAUGCAAUAGUGUCUGUGUUUGGUGGCUGAUUAUGGGGUGGGCCCCUGGGUGGGGCAGUCUCUGGAUGGUCCAUCCUUUCAUCUUAGCUCCAAACUUUGUCUCUGCAACUCCUUCCAUGGGUAUUUUAUUCCCUAUUCUAGGGAGGAAUGAAGUAUCCAUGUGUUGGUCUUCCUUCUUGGUUUUCUUGUGUUUUGGAAAUUGUAUCUUGGGUAUUCUAGGUUUCUGGUCUAAUAUCCACUUAUCAGUGAGUGCAUAUCAAGUGACUUCUUUUGUGAUUGGGUUACCUCACUCAGGAUGAUAUCCUCCAGAUAUAUUUAUUUGCCCAAGAAUUUCAUAAAUUCAUUGUUUUUUAAAUAGCUGAGUAGUACUUCAUUGUGUAAAUGUACCACAUUUUCUGUAUCCAUUCCUCUGUUGAGGGACAUCUUGGUUCUUUCCAGCUUCUGGAUACUAUAAAUAGGCCUGCUAUGAACAUAGUGGAGCAUGUGUUCCUUAUUACCAGUUGGAACAUCUUCUGGGCAUAUGCCCAGGAGAGGUAUUGCUGGAUCUACUGCUAGACUUGUACACUUUCUACUACCUUUUUCUUAUGGCAUGCUGGCUGGGUUAUAGAUGAUGAUACCUCUCAUAUUGAUUUUUUACAACUAAGGAGUACUUAUUGAAUAAGGACCUUUCCAGUCCUCUUAAUUCAUCUUUAGUAUUAUUAUUUUGCUAAGCAAUGCUUCAUCUUACAUUUUUGAAUUUAUGAUGGAUUAGAUAACACACACAUCUAAAUAAUAGUUUUCAGCCACAAGCUUAUCUCUAUGUGUCUCUUUUUUAGUAGAAUGUGUAAUAUAUUUCCAUUCCUAUAUGCUUUAGAAUCCAAUAGAAAUGAUAUUAUAACUAUUCCUCUGAUUUUAUGUAGUAGUAUUGUUGCUCUACAUUCCCUAUCUCCCCAAAGAUUUAAAUUAAAAAUUAAAUUGGAAAAAUUAUGCACACAUGACUUAGAUCAUAACAAGAGACUAGACACCUAUCACAUUGCUUCACAAAUAUUUUUAUUUGUAAUGAAUAGUGUCACCAUUUGUUUGUAACCUAGCUUUAUAUAUUCGUUUUUUACUUUUACAACUUUUUAGUCAACUCUUUUUCUACUUACUCUAAGUAUUAAGUCUAAUGAUUGCAACAGGCACAAAGAACAAAAUGAGAUUUAUAGUUGAGAAAGGUCUCAGUUGCUCAGCUUCUUUGAUAGCACACAUGAUUUAUUCACAAUGCAUAUAUAAUAGCAUGUGUUUUACUCCUUAAUACAUCUAAAACAAUCUUAUUCCAGAGGGAACACUACCCUGUUGCAUGUGGUUUGUUUAUUUAAUUUCUC
rnacentral:lncRNA from 1 species